rnacentral:rRNA from 1 species
AGGCGACAAUCGGUAGCUGGUCUGAGAGGACGAUCAGCCACACUGGGAUUGAGAACGGCCCAGACUCCUACGGGGGGCAGCAGUGAGGAAUUUUCGUCAAUGGGGGAAACCCUGAACGAGCAACGCCGCGUGCAGGAAGAAGGUUUUCGGAUUGUAAACCGCUUUUCUGUGGGACGAGAACGGACGGUACCACAGGAAGAAGCCUCGGCUAACUACGUGCCAGCAGCCGCGGUAAUACGUAGGAGGCGAGCGUUGUCCGGAGUUACUGGGCGUAAAGGGUGCGCAGGCGGCGGUUCGCGUGGAUAGGUGAAAUCUCCUGGCUUACCUGGGAGGGUGGUAUCCAGACGGGAUCGCUUGAGGGUCGGAGAGGGGCGUGGAAUUCCGGGUGGAGCGGUGAAAUGCGUAGAGAUCCGGAGGAACACCGACGGCGCAGGCAGCGCCCUGGACGACACCUGACGCUGAGGCACGAAAGCUGGGGGAGCGAACAGGAUUAGAUACCCUGGUAGUCCCAGCCCUAAACGAUGUCCACCAGGUACCGGGGGGAUCGACCCCUUCGGCGCCGCAGCUAACGUGAUGAGUGGACCGCCUGGGGAGUACGGCCGCAAGGUUGAAACUCAAAGGAAUUGACG